UGGAAGUCUAACUCAACAUGUUCAGCUAGUUAUCCCCUUCUUAUGAGAUGUUGUUUAAUUAUUAAUGUUAACCGGUUUAAUUGUGCAACUAUCAACAUAAGCUAACGUUAGCGAGCUGAGCUAGCGAGCUAUGCUAGCGCUUCUGCAUGCUAAUAGGACCGUGACGAGACGAGGAUGAGGACGACACUGUUCCAUUGGAGAAAAUCAGUCUUGUCACUGGAUUUUUGAGAAAAUUCAUAGAAGCACAGGGAAAGGAGAAGACAUAAAUGUGAAUGUUUGACAGAAACGGUAAAGGCCAGCUCCCUCUGAGAUGAUAUGAAACACAAAUUCACAUAAAAUUGGUAAAUGAAACUUCACUUUGUUUACAUUCCACAGUAUUUAAAGCAAUCAUUUGGAGGUUCUAAACUAGGAGAGGAAAAGAGACUACAGGGAUUUUACUUUUGUAAAGUUUGUACUUAAGCACUGUGAUAUUUUGAAGUGUAGCACCAUCUUGUAUUUGUCAUCUGUUUUGAAGCCCUGUCUAAACAGCAAGCAUUGCUGAUGGGUUAUCUUUCCUUGAGUAUGUAAGAGUGCAAUAACUGACUUUGUUGAAAAGAUAAUCUUAUGAGAGAAUCGUUACUUCAUAUUUUUUGAAUGAUCUCCUAUGUAAAGUUUGAGGGGUCAGUACAAUUUUCCUUCUCUUCCAUAGCAUCAACAGAUGGUCAGGUAAUGCUCUGGAUCACGGUCUACAAGGGAUCAAAUAAACAUUUCAUGUCAGGAUUGAAACUUUUAUUAAAUGUUGCAAAGUGAUUUUUUUAUGAAUGAAUGAUCCAUUUCUGUCACAUAACACAACUUAAACAUGACUAAAAUAAACCAUUCAUUUUAGAUGUACACACCCCUGUGACACAAA